rnacentral:lncRNA from 1 species
UAUGUAUGUAUAUAUGCCUGCAUGUAUAUAUAUAUGUAUACAUGUAUGUGUAUGUAUAUGUUUUUGCAGAAAAAAACGUGGCUAAAAACCAACGAUGCGAGUGCAACACAUCAAGAAUACGCAAUGCUUUCUUUAGGGCUGAUAGGGCAUGGCCCCUAAAUGAUUCAUAGCCAGAGAUGGUGAUGGGUUAAUCAUCAACUAUCAAAUCAUCAUAGCGACACAAACGGCCAAAGUCCUUCCAUGGAACGGUCCUCAUGCUGCCAUGCACUUGACACACCCUUGUUUUGUCGUAUUUUCAUGACAUAUUGUUGUUAUUGCAAUUGACGUCUUCAAGCAUGGAAAGUUGGCGGAACUUACUUGCUGGCUGAAAAAUGGAGGCAAUCCGGGGCUAAACCACUGACCACAUAUAACUUUAGAGGUCGAUUAAGUUGGAUCAGCUCAACGGUGAAGUAUUGAUAAUUAUUGCACGAUCAUAAAAUAAAUAUUAAAUAUGCAUUUAUUAUGAUUCUAACGAUUAUCAUCGGUAUUUUAUCAUGACGUUAAUCCAACUUAUUAACCGUUGAAGUUUUAGGGAGUUGACCCUGGCCACUAAACCACUUCCAAUUUAAAGAAAAUUAGUAAAAUAAUGAAUGGUGGAGAUAUUUUCACUCCAUUGAUUUUUUUAAAA